ACGUAGGGUGCAAGCGUUAAUCGGAAUUACUGGGCGUAAAGCGUGCGCAGGCGGUUAUGCAAGACAGAUGUGAAAUCCCCGGGCUUAACCUGGGAACUGCAUUUGUGACUGCAUAGCUAGAGUGCGGCAGAGGGGGAUGGAAUUCCGCGUGUAGCAGUGAAAUGCGUAGAUAUGCGGAGGAACACCGAUGGCGAAGGCAAUCCCCUGGGCCUGCACUGACGCUCAUGCACGAAAGCGUGGGGAGCAAACAGGAUUAGAUACCCUGGUAGUCCACGCCCUAAACGAUGUCAACUAGGUGUU
rnacentral:rRNA from 1 species